UUUUUUUUUACAUAUAUAUACGUAUAAAAAUACUGAGCUACUGGGUGCAAAUCUGCCGCAAAUUCUUCUAAAAAAACUAGGCCUGAGCUCAACCCUAACGUCGCGCACGCUUGGCGGUAAUUUUUGGCCAGCGGUCUGGUCCGAUUCUAACCAAUGGUACUGUCAGUCCGUCUUGUCGUUCAGGGUCAAAAAUCUUUAUGGUCGAAACCUUUGGUAUACCUGCGCACCUCAGGAUUGGCAGUGCGGAGCCGAUGUUCCCAAAUGAAAGAUCCCACGUUGGAAGUCGGCAGAGGUGGCGUUGAAAUAUUUGUAUAACCUUUUUUUUUUUUUCGGUGUUCAAUUUAUAUAAUUUAUAUUAUAUUGUUUGAUUUAAAUAAAGACUUUAAAAAUG